UACGAGGGGGGCAAGCGUUAUUCGGAAUUACUGGGCGUAAAGAGCGUGGAGGUGGCCUCUUAAGUUAUUUGUUAAAUCCUACGGCUUAACCGUAGGCCCGCAAGUAAAACUGAGAGGCUAGAGGAUGAAAGAGAGGGGUGGAACUCCUAGAGUAGCGGUAAAAUGCGUGGAUCCUAGGAUGAACGUCAGUGGCGAAGGCGGCCUCUCAGGUCAUAUCUGACACUCGAGCGCGAAGGCGUGGGGAGCAAACAGG
rnacentral:rRNA from 1 species